rnacentral:rRNA from 1 species
UACGUAGGGUCCGAGCGUUGUCCGGAAUUACUGGGCGUAAAGAGCUCGUAGGUGGUUUGUCGCGUUGUUCGUGAAAACUCACAGCUUAACUGUGGGCGUGCGGGCGAUACGGGCAGACUGGAGUACUGCAGGGGAGACUGGAAUUCCUGGUGUAGCGGUGGAAUGCGCAGAUAUCAGGAGGAACACCGGUGGCGAAGGCGGGUCUCUGGGCAGUAACUGACGCUGAGGAGCGAAAGCGUGGGGAGCGAACGGG